UACGUAGGGUGCAAGCGUUGUCCGGAAUUAUUGGGCGUAAAGAGCUCGUAGGCGGUCAGUCGCGUCUGCUGUGAAAACUCGGGGCUUAACUCCGGGCCUGCAGUGGGUACGGGCUGACUAGAGUGCGGUAGGGGAGACUGGAAUUCCUGGUGUAGCGGUGAAAUGCGCAGAUAUCAGGAGGAACACCGGUGGCGAAGGCAGGUCUCUGGGCCACAACUGACGCUGAGGAGCGAAAGCGUGGGGAGCGAACAGG
rnacentral:rRNA from 1 species